rnacentral:misc_RNA from 1 species
AGAUACCAAUAGUUCAAGAGAAAACCACUCCAUAUAAUUUCUAACACGACUAUGGAGAGCUGUUACUAGGGCACAGGAAAGGUGUAUCAGUCUCUAUUCCCCUCUAGUUCUCAAUCUUCUUGAUUGAUCCGGUCAUCUGUAUUGUUCGGGCAGGCGGUAACCGGUCAUCACAAUUUUAUCCGCAAACAUCUUACCGGUCUUCGGCAUCACAUGCCAGUGCAG